UACGUAGGGUGCGAGCGUUGUCCGGAAUUAUUGGGCGUAAAGAGCUUGUAGGCGGUUUGUCGCGUCUGCUGUGAAAACUCUGGGCUCAACUCAGAGACGCCACUCGAUACUGUCGUGACUGGAGUCUGGUAGGGGAGUGUGGAAUUCCCAGUGUAGCAGUGAAAUGCGCAGAUAUUGGGAGGAACACCAGUGGCGAAGGCGGCACUCUGGGCCAGUACUGACACUGAGGAGCGAAAGCGUGGGGAGCGAACAGG
rnacentral:rRNA from 1 species